rnacentral:rRNA from 1 species
UACAGAGGUCCCAAGCGUUGUUCGGAUUCACUGGGCGUAAAGGGUGCGUAGGUGGCUUGGUAAGUUCGAUGUGAAAUCUCCGGGCUUAACCCGGAAAUGGCAUUGAAUACUAUUGAGCUGGAGGUUUGGAGGGGGGACUGGAAUUCUCGGUGUAGCAGUGAAAUGCGUAGAUAUCGAGAGGAACACCAGUGGCGAAGGCGGCUCACUGGUCCGGUACUGACGCUGAGGUGCGAAAGCGUGGGGAGCAAACAGG